GAGAAUCAUCUCUCCCAGAUAAUGGCACUGUCAAACAAGUUUUUGAGUUGUUUGAAAGGCUGUUUCUUGGUCAGAAGACUCUCGAUUCCUUCUGGA
ensembl:miRNA MIR488 microRNA 488